AUAGUGGCGAACGGGUCGAGUAACACGUGGGUAACCUGCCCAUAAGAGGGGGAUAACAUCCGGAAACGGGUGCUAAUACCGCGAUAGUUUUCUUGAUCGCAUGAUUGAGAAAGGAAAGACGGCCUUUGUGCUGUCGCUUAUGGAUGGACCCGCGGCGUAUUAGUUAGUUGGUGAGGUAACGGCUCACCAAGACGAUGAUACGUAGCCGACCUGAGAGGGUGAUCGGCCACAUUGGGACUGAGACACGGCCCAAACUCCUACGGGAGGCAGCAGUGGGGAAUAUUGGGCAAUGGGGGGAAAAACCCCCUGACCCAGCAACGCCGCGUGAAGGAAGAAGGCUUUCGGAUUGUAAACUUCUGUCCUUGGUGAAGAGAAGAAGACGGUAGCCAAGGAGGAAGCCCCGGCUAACUACGUGCCAGCCGCCGC
rnacentral:rRNA from 1 species